rnacentral:rRNA from 1 species
AUGGCUCAGAUUGAACGCUGGCGGCGUGCUUAACACAUGCAAGUCGCGCGUGAAAGGACUUCGGUCCGAGUAAAGCGGCGCACGGGUGAGUAACGCGUGGAUGAUCUACCCAUGAGUUAGGAAUAACGGCUGGAAACGGUCGCUAAUACCAAAUACGCUCCGAUUUCAACUUCGGGGGAAAGGUGGCCUCUGCUUGCAAGCUACUGCUCAUGGAUGAGUCCGCGUCCCAUCAGCUAGUUGGUGGGGUAACGGCCCACCAAGGCGACGAUGGGUAGCCGGUCUGAGAGGAUGACCGGCCACACUGGGACUGGAACACGGCCCAGACUCCUACGGGAGGCAGCAGUGGGGAAUAUUGCGCAAUGGGCGAAAGCCUGACGCAGCGACGCCGCGUGAGGGAUGAAGGUCCUCGGAUCGUAAACCUCUGUCAGGAGGGAAGAACCGCCACGGUGCUAAUCAGCCGUGGUCUGACGGUACCUCCAAAGGAAGCACCGGCUAACUCCGUGCCAGCCGCUGC